UACGUAGGGUGCAAGCGUUAAUCGGAAUUACUGGGCGUAAUGCGUGCGCAGUCGGUUUUGUAAGUCUGACGUGAAAUCCCCGGGCUCAACCUGGGAAUUGCGUUGGAGACUGCAAGGCUAGAAUCUGGCAGAGGGGGGUAGAAUUCCACGUGUAGCAGUGAAAUGCGUAGAGAUGUGGAGGAACACCGAUGGCGAAGGCAGCCCCCUGGGUCAAGAUUGACGCUCAUGCACGAAAGCGUGGGGAGCAAACAGG
rnacentral:rRNA from 1 species